rnacentral:rRNA from 1 species
GUCUAUGGCCAUGCCACCCUGAACGCGCCCGAUCUCGUCUGAUCUCAGAAGCUAAGCAGGGACAGGCCCGGUUAGUACUUGUAUGGGAGAAAAUCAAGGGAUCUGAUGAAC